GAUGAACGCUGGCGGCGUGCUUAACACAUGCAAGUCGAACGGUGAACGAGGGAGCUUGCUCCCUCCGGAUCAGUGGCGAACGGGUGAGUAACACGUGAGCAAUCUGCCCUGGACUCUGGGAUAAGCGUUGGAAACGACGUCUAAUACCGGAUACGAGGCGUGGGGGCAUCCCCAACGCCUGGAAAGAACUUCGGUCCAGGAUGAGCUCGCGGCCUAUCAGCUAGUUGGUGAGGUAACGACUCACCAAGGCGACGACGGGUAGCCGGCCUGGGAGGGUGACCGGCCUCACUGAGACUGAGACACGGCCCAGACUCCUACGGGAGGAAGCAGUGGGGAAUAUUGCACAAUGGGCGCAAGCCUGAUGCAGCAACGCCGCGUGAGGGACGACGGCCUUCGGGUUGUAAACCUCUUUUAGCAGGGAAGAAGCGAAAGUGACGGUACCUGCAGAAAAAGCACCGGCUAACUACGUGCCAGCCGCCGCAGUAAAAC
rnacentral:rRNA from 1 species